rnacentral:tmRNA from 1 species
GGGGUAGUAAAGGUUUCGACAGGGGUCUUGCAGCUGGAGAAGCUAUCCGUUGCGACACGUUAAUCGCACAAUUAAACUAAACGCUGAAGACAAUAAUCAGUUAGCAUUUGCAGCUUAAUAAGCUGUAAGUGACGUCGCCUCAGGCGGCUUGUCCGGUCCAGAGCACCCACACUUUGGAGUCCGGGCAUCGACUUUGUGGGAAACGACAUGCGGUAAGCUUUGCCCGCGUGGGCGUAUUAUGAAGCUACUGUUCCGGCCGGGGAGUCUGUUCGCCAGCCGGUGACAGGAAUUGCAGCCCGCCUGAUGUGCGGCUGCGAAACAACAGACUAUGAUAGUAGAAGGACAGGGAAUGGGCUUUUGGACACGGGUUCGACUCCCGUCUACUCCA